GGUAAUACGGAGGGUGCAAGCGUUUUCCGGAUUUAUUGGGUUUAAGGGUCCGUAGGCGGAUCUGUAAGUCAGUGGUGAAAUCUCACAGCUUAACUGUGAAACUGCCAUUGAUACUGCAGGUCUUGAGUGUUGUUGAAGUAGCUGGAAUAAGUAGUGUAGCGGUGAAAUGCAUAGAUAUUACUUAGAACACCAAUUGCGAAGGCAGGUUACUAAGCAACAACUGACGCUGAUGGACGAAAGCGUGGGGAGCGAACAGGAUUAGAUACCCUGGUAGUCCACGCCGUAAACGAUGCUAACUCGUUUUUGGAAUGCAAGUUUCAGAGACUAAGCGAAAGUGAUAAGUUAGCCACCUGGGGAGUACGAACGCAAGUUUGAAACUCAAAGGAAUUGACGGGGGCCCGCACAAGCGGUGGAUUAUGUGGUUUAAUUCGAUGAUACGCGAGGAACCUUACCAAGGCUUAAAUGGGAAAUGACAGGUUUAGAAAUAGACUUUUCUUCGGACAUUUUUCAAGGUGCUGCAUGGUUGUCGUCAGCUCGUGCCGUGAGGUGUUAGGUUAAGUCCUGCAACGAGCGCAACCCCUGUCACUAGUUGCCAUCAUUAAGUUGGGGACUCUAGUGAGACUGCCUACGCAAGUAGAGAGGAAGGUGGGGAUGACGUCAAAUCAUCACGGCCCUUACGCCUUGGGCCACACACGUAAUACAAUGGCCGGUACAGAGGGCAGCUACACUGCGAAGUGAUGCAAAUCUCGAAAGCCGGUCUCAGUUCGGAUUGGAGUCUGCAACUCGACUCUAUGAAGCUGGAAUCGCUAGUAAUCGCGCAUCAGCCAUGGCGCGGUGAAUACGUUCCCGGGCCUUGUACACACCGCCCGUCAAGCCAUGGAAGUCUGGGGUACCUGAAGUCGGUGACCGUAACAGG
rnacentral:rRNA from 1 species